GACGAACGCUGGCGGCGUGCUUAACACAUGCAAGUCGAACGGAAAGGCCCUGCUUUUGUGGGGUGCUCGAGUGGCGAACGGGUGAGUAACACGUGAGUAACCUGCCCUUGACUUUGGGAUAACUUCAGGAAACUGGGGCUAAUACCGGAUAGGAGCUCCUGCUGCAUGGUGGGGGUUGGAAAGUUUCGGCGGUUGGGGAUGGACUCGCGGCUUAUCAGCUUGUUGGUGGGGUAGUGGCUUACCAAGGCUUUGACGGGUAGCCGGCCUGAGAGGGUGACCGGCCAAAAUGGGAAUGAGAUACGGCCCAGAAUCCUACGGGAGGCAGGAGGGGGGAAAAAUGCAACAAGGGCCGAAGCCUGAUGGAGCAACGCCGGGGGCGGGAUGACGGCCUUCGGGUUGUAAACCGCUUUCGCCUGUGACGAAGCGUGAGUGACGGUAAUGGGUAAAGAAGCACCGGCUAACUACGUG
rnacentral:rRNA from 1 species